GACCAUGUGGCCUAAUGGAUAAGGCAUCUGACUUCAGAUGAGGUGAUUGAGGGUUAAGUCCCUUCGCGGUUG
rnacentral:tRNA from 1 species